ACGAACGCUGGCGGCAGGCCUAACACAUGCAAGUCGAGCGAGAUCUUCGGGUCUAGCGGCGGACGGGUGAGUAACGCGUGGGAAUAUGCCCUUCUCUGCGGAAUAGCCUCGGGAAACUGAGCGUAAUACCGCAUACGCCCUUUGGGGGAAAGAUUUAUCGGAGUAGGAUUAGCCCGCGUUGGAUUAGGUAGUUGGUGGGGUAACGGCCUACCAAGCCGACGAUCCAUAGCUGGUUUGAGAGGAUGAUCAGCCACACUGGGACUGAGACACGGCCCAGACUCCUACGGGAGGCAGCAGUGGGGAAUCUUAGACGAUGGGGGCAACCCUGAUCUAGCCAUGCCGCGUGAGUGAUGAAGGCCUUAGGGUUGUAAAGCUCUUUCAGCUGGGAAGAUAAUGACGGUACCAGCAGAAGAAGCCCCGGCUAACUCCAUG
rnacentral:rRNA from 1 species